ensembl:lncRNA
UCAUAAAGAAACUGAUAAAAAACAUACAGGUGUUGAAUCAAGGUGACUUACAAAGAUGAGGACCAAAAGCCAGAGUGGGAGUGUGGUGAUAUAGUGUCCACAACUAAAGAAGAGAGGGAGUGUGGUGAUGUAGUGUCCACAACUAAUGAAGAGAUGUAGUGUGGUGAUGUAUUGUCCACAACUAAAGAAGAGAGGGAGUGUGGUGAUGUAGUGUCCACAACUAAUGAAGAGAGAGAGAGUGUGGUGAUGUAGUGGUGAUGUAGUGGUGAUGUAGUGUCCACAACUAAAGAAGAGAGGGAGUGGAGUGAUGUAGUGUCCACAACUAAAGAAGAGAGGGAGUGUGGUGAUGUAGUGUCCACAACUAAAGAAGAGAGGGAGUGUGGUGAUAUAGUGUCCACAACUAAAGAAGAGAGGGAGUGUGGUGAUGUAGUGUGGUGAUGUAGUGUCCACAACUAAAGAAGAGAGGGAGUGUGGUGAUGUAGUGUCCACAACUAAAGAAGAGAGGGAGUGUGGUGAUGUAGUGUCCACUACUAAAGAAGAGAGGGAGUGUGGUGAUGUAGUGUCCACUACUAAAGAAGAGAGGGAGUGUGGUGAUGUAGUGUGGUGAUGUAGUGUCCACAACUAAAGAAGAG